GCACGGGGCGCGGGGGCAGGGUGGGCGUUCUGGCCUCGGCGCCUGACCCCAGCCCUCGCCCGGCCCCACGGCGCGGCCGCCAGCUUAGCAUUGUGUUCCCUACAAGAGAGAAUGGAGAGAAAUAAUGAGGAUAGGAAUCCAGUGACAAGUUUCUAAACAAGCCUUCACUUGUACCAUGGUCUCCCUAAGUCACCAAAUUGCCUGGACUGGGCUCCUCCUGCUUCAGCCUCCCAGAGUGCUGAGAUAACAGGAUCAGGCCUGUGGUUGAUACUCAGUAAUGAUGGAUGGAUGGAUGGAUGGAUGGAUGGAUGGAUGAAUGGACAGAUGGACUGAUAAAAGAGUUUACCAGUAAGCCAAGAGAAUGAGAUAUUCUGGUACCUGGAACUGAAAGGGGGAACAAGAGAAACUGAUAAAGAAGGCAUUGUUCUUUUUCACUGAGACCAUCUUCCAAAAUAAAUCCUUGCUUCUGAACACUUUUCUUCACCCUGUUGCAUUUGCUGAGAUACUUGGUGCCACAAAUGGCCGUACAGAAAGACUUUUCAGAUAGAUUUUGAUACUGGACCAACCAGACAGUCAUAAGGACCCCAUUACUGCUGAUGAAUGGGAUGAUGGUAUCUUCUGCUGGUGUGCAGAAACCUCACAAAUACUAGGAGGUUUCCUGCUAUGAGUCAGAACGGUGGAGGAAGAUGAAGUAUUAGCUUAUGUGUUAGUGAUAACACAGAAAAAUAUGUGGUCAUUCAUUUUAAGGAAAGAACAAACUGACUUGGAAAAGAAAAUGGCAUCCUUUAGUUAGCCAACUAUCAAGCCCAAAGAGUGCUGAGAGUUUCCGCAGAAGCACAGAGUGCUGCCUCCUGCCUCUGCCAUAGGACAUCUGCGAAAACCUAGGCCCAGGGGCUGAUUGUGCAUGCAGCCCAGCUACGAAGAGGAGCAUAUUCAGCCUCACAGGUCUCUGAUAUCAGAGUCAGGACCCAGAUAAAGAAACACUAGACCUUUACACAUGGGAUAGAUUAUUUAGAAGGACAGACAUGAUAGCCUUGAAUUCCAGAUUCCUCUGAACAACCAAAAGCAGCAGUGUCUGCUCCCUCCCUGGAAGAGAACAGCCCCCCUUGCCUGCAGACCCUGCAAAGGCCCCACUGGAUGGAGAAGCCUCGCCAGGUGUGUUUGUCCUAAAAUCUGCUUCUCCCUCCACAUAACCAACCAACAGAGGAGGCAAAUUAGAGGUUGGCUCAAUGUUUUUCUGCUGUCGCAUGACAGCCUGUCUAUAAAUAUAAGGACAGUGGUCAAGGAAAACCCUUCUGGCUGGCUGUUUUACAAUCAACCCACCUUAUAUCCAGAGAUAAAUGGCUUAGAUAUGGCUAAAUGUGAUCAUUUGGGCAGUGGUGAGUAGUUAGGUGGUCUCAGCCUUGGAGAAGACAAGACUGAAAGAGCAGAAACAAGAAAGUCUAAGGAAGAGCCAGAGAAACGGAUUUAUGGGAAUGAGUUGAAGUCAGAGAAUCGUCGUAUUUCACCUUACGUUAUUGUGUGCUAGAUACGAACCCUCCCAAAGGUGCAUGCAACAACCAAGAAGAUGGAAUGGCUUGUGUAAGCAUCAGCUGGCUACUUAGCUACCUGGUGAUGUUACAGUGGGGUCCUUAGAGAGACCCUGAUGGCAGGAAUGAUGACUCUGUCUGGGCUUCCUGUCGCUUGGGCUGUCCUAGCUGCUGCUACUGCCAGAAGCCCAGAGCACCUGCUGCAGUGCUGAGCAGAACCAGUGCUGAGCCGUUAGUGUGACUCUCCAUUGCGGGUCAUCCAGUCUCCUGAUUAGCAAGUUGAUUCCAUUAGACCCUGUGCACCUGAGAGAGCAACAAUUCAUCUUUCAGAAAUUGGCAGCUACUUCAGUUAAGAUUUUGCUUUUUCUGUCUACAGUUCUUCCACACCAACCCUUGAAGCUGUAUCUAAAUCCCAGCUGUGUUAUUCAUUAGCUAUGAUUUCAACUUCUUUUGAAUGUUUACAUUAUGAGAUUGAUGUGAAAAUUAAAUGAGCUAAUACAUGAAAAGUCUCAUAGUUUAUACUCAUUCUUUACUAUUUUAAUUCUUAUCAGGUCAAGAAAAUUUCCUUCUCUUCCUUGUUUGCGGAAAUUAUUCUUAGAUUAAAAUAAUAAUGCAAUUUGAAUAUUAUCAAAUGCUUUUACUGGGAUAGUUAGCAUGUUAAUUUGGGUAGGCUACAGUGCUAAAUGGUUCAGUCAGACUUGUGUAGAUGUCACUGUGAAGGUAGUUUGUAGAUGUGAUUAACAUUUAUAGUCAGUCGACUUACGUCCUGGGUGGGACUCAUCUGAUCAGUUAAAGGCCUUAAAAAUCAAAAACCAAGCAGACAAACAAAAAAACCUCUGAUGUUUCCUGGAGACAAAGGAAUUCUGUCUCUAAAGUGUAACAGAAAUCCUUCUUAAGUUUCCAACCUGCUUGCCUGCCCUGUGGAUUUUGGACUUAAGACUGUGUGCUUAACUCUUGGUGGCUGUCCUGUCCUGCGGAUUUCACUUAGUAGUCCCCACAAUUAUGUAAUUGAGUGAGCCAAUUCUUUAAUUUCUCUCUCUCUCAAUCUCCACCCCCUCUUCUAUCCUAUGUACUUUUUUCCUCCAAAAUCAUAGGUCUUAGGCACAUUCUUGACUCGUUGAAUCUUCAUUUCCUUCUCAUUAAAAUGGGUUUACUAGUAUCAUCUCAGUAUCGUAUGG
ensembl:lncRNA